GGUGAGGUGCGAGAGUGGUUGAAUCGGGCGGUCUCGAAAACCGUUGAGCCUUUGCGGGCUCCGUGGGUUCGAAUCCCACCCUCACCGCCA
rnacentral:tRNA from 1 species